rnacentral:rRNA from 1 species
UACGUAGGGUGCAAGCGUUAAUCGGAAUUACUGGGCGUAAAGCGCACGUAGGUGGCUUUGUAAGUUAGAGGUGAAAGCCCGGGGCUCAACUCCGGAAUUGCCUUUAAGACUGCAUCGCUAGAACGUCGGAGAGGUAAGUGGAAUUCCGAGUGUAGAGGUGAAAUUCGUAGAUAUUCGGAAGAACACCAGUGGCGAAGGCGACUUACUGGACGACUGUUGACACUGAGGUGCGAAAGCGUGGGGAGCAAACAGG